rnacentral:misc_RNA from 1 species
GUCCUCUCAAAAUAUCUUUAACAAAAGAGUCCUUAUGGUACCCUACAACUUCCCUGUUUCUAAUAAGCUCAGUUAUAUCAGUAAUUGCGGGCUGCAGCUGUUGAACAGUUAGAAGGCUGGAUAAACUUGCAGUGUAACUCUGAGUGAUAAUGAGUACAACUAAACUCCAUAUGAUUACCACUAUCCGAGCCAAGUUGUUGAUCACCUUCUCUCGUUGGGAAAAAACAAUGGUUGAGAAGGCAAACCAUAAGCUGGUGCCGGCUUGUUGUGAAGGAGGUCCUCGGAAGUCUUUGUUUAUUCUGUGU